rnacentral:tRNA from 1 species
GAACGUAUGGCUCAGUUGAUCAGAGCGCUUGGAUGGUUUCCAAGAGACGCGAAUUCAAAUCCCGCUACGUUCA